rnacentral:rRNA from 1 species
UAGUCCACGCCGUAAACGAUGAAUGCCAGCCGUUAGUGGGUUUACUCACUAGUGGCGCAGCUAACGCUUUAAGCAUUCCGCCUGGGGAGUACGGUCGCAAGAUUAAAACUCAAAGGAAUUGACGGGGGCCCGCACAAGCGGUGGAGCAUGUGGUUUAAUUCGACGCAACGCGCAGAACCUUACCAGCCCUUGACAUCCCUUGCAUUACUCUUAAUCGAGGAAAUCCCUUCGGGGACAAGGUGAC